CUACGGGGCGCAGCAGUGAGGAAUAUUGCACAAUGGGGGGAACCCUGAUGCAGCAACGCCGCGUGGAGGAUGACGCAUUUCGGUGUGUAAACUCCUUUUAUAUGUCAAGAAAAUGACGGUAGCAUAUGAAUAAGCACCGGCUGAACUCCGUGCCAGCAGCCGCGGUAAUACGGAGGGUGCAAGCGUUACUCGGAAUCACUGGGCGUAAAGGACGCGUAGGCGGGUUGGAAAGUCAGGUGUGAAAUCCUACAGCUUAACUGUAGAACUGCACUUGAAACUUCUAAUCUAGAGUAUGGGAGGGGGAGAUGGAAUUAGUGGUGUAGGGGUAAAAUCCGUAGAUAUCACUAGGAAUACCUAAAGCGAAGGCGAUCUCCUGGAACAUUACUGACGCUAAGGCGUGAAAGCGUGGGGAGCAAACAGGAUUAGAUACCCGGGUAGUC
rnacentral:rRNA from 1 species